rnacentral:snoRNA from 1 species
GCGCCCCUUAAUCCCUCGAUCAGGCCCAUGCCACGGCUGGUUGAGUUUCAUGCGGGGCGCACAGCACCACGUCCUGCGUGGCGGGAGAUUCGCUGACAACACGUAGCGGCUCGCCGCGAUGAGUGUUUUCUGAUAGUA